rnacentral:rRNA from 1 species
GAGACUCUGUGCGCGUGCAUAUCAAUAAGCGGAGGAAAAGAAACUAACUAGGAUUCCCUCAGUAACGGCGAGUGAAGCGGGAAGAGCUCAAAUUUGAAAUCUUCAAGGUUCUACCUUGACGAAUUGUAGUUUAAAGAAGUGUUUUCUGUUGGAGUUUCGGUAAAAGUUCUUUGGGAUAGGACAUCAUAGAGGGUGAGAAUCCCGUAUUUGACCAUUACUUUCCAACUUUGUGAUACACUUUCAAAGAGUCGGAUUGUUUGGGAAUGCAGUCCAAAAUGGGUGGUAAAUUUCAUCUAAAGCUAAAUAUUGGCGAGAGACCGAUAGCGAACAAGUACCGUGAGGGAAAGAUGAAAAGAACUUUGAAAAGAGAGUUAAACAGUACGUGAAAUUGUCAAAAGGGAAGCGUUUGACACCAGUGUUGUUUAGUUCGAAAAUCAAUUCAAUAAUGGUUGGAUGUUGUAGUAGUAUUGACUUCAUCAGCUUUCUGCACUUUCUUUCAUGUAUUAUUUAAUGCACUCUUCAGUUAACAAGUCAACAUCAAUUUCUUUUGUUGUAAAAGAGUAAUAGGAAGGUGGCUUACUCUUCGGCGUAAGUGUUUAUAGCCUUUUACCUCUGCAAUCGGAGAGAUUGAGGACAGCAGCGUAGACUCUUCGGGGUUAGAUACACUUGUGCUAAGCUAUAGCCUUGUAUAGACAACUUGUUGACUAUGCUCAGUCAUGUAGCUUACUCGCUUGUGCUAUUUUACCUACGCUUAGGAUGUUGAAGUCAUCGUAUCGCGC